rnacentral:rRNA from 1 species
UACGGGGGGAGCAAGCGUUGUUCGGAUUUACUGGGCGUAAAGGGCGCGUAGGCGGCCACCGCAAGUCGACUGUGAAAUCUCCGGGCUUACCCGGAAAGGUCAGCCGAUACUGCGGGGCUAGAGUGCAGAAGGGGCAACUGGAAUUCUCGGUGUAGCGGUGAAAUGCGUAGAUAUCGAGAGGAACACCUGCGGCGAAGGCGGGUUGCUGGGCUGACACUGACGCUGAGGCGCGAAAGCUAGGGGAGCGAACGGG